AAUAGAUACCCUGGUAGUCCACGCCGUAAACGAUGAGUGCUAAGUGUUAGGGGGUUUCCGCCCCUUAGUGCUGCAGCUAACGCAUUAAGCACUCCGCCUGGGGAGUACGGUCGCAAGACUGAAACUCAAAGGAAUUGACGGGGGCCCGCACAAGCGGUGGAGCAUGUGGUUUAAUUCGAAGCAACGCGAAGAACCUUACCAGGUCUUGACAUCCCAUUGACCGCUAUGGAGACAUAGCUUUCCCUUCGGGGACAGUGGUGACAGGUGGUGCAUGGUUGUCGUCAGCUCGUGUCGUGAGAUGUUGGGUUAAGUCCCGCAACGAGCGCAACCCUUGUUCUUAGUUGCCAUCAUUUAGUUGGGCACUCUAAGGAGACUGCCGGUGACAAACCGGAGGAAGGUGGGGAUGACGUCAAAUCAUCAUGCCCCUUAUGACCUGGGCUACACACGUGCUACAAUGGACGGUACAAACGGUUGCCAACCGCGAGGGGAGCUAAUCCGAUAAAACCGUUCUCAGUUCGGAUUGUAGGCUGCAACUCGCCUAC
rnacentral:rRNA from 1 species